UGAAGCUGGAAUUGCUAGUAAUGGCAGGUCAGCAUACUGCCGUGAAUACGUUCCCGGGCCUUGUACACACCGCCCGUCACACCAUGAGAGUUGGGAAUACCCGAAGCCUGUGAGCCAACUUUUAAAGAGGCAACAGUCGAAGGUAGAAUCAAUGAUUGGGGUGAAGUCGUAACAAGGUACC
rnacentral:rRNA from 1 species